UAAAAUGAAGCAAAAAUCUUGCAUUUUAUUUACACUAAAAAGUUAGUCUAAAAAGACCAUUUUAA
rnacentral:tRNA from 1 species